rnacentral:rRNA from 1 species
CGAACGGGUGAGUAACGCGUGAGGAACCUGCCUCAAAGAGGGGGACAACAGUUGGAAACGACUGCUAAUACCGCAUAAGCCCACGGCUCGGCAUCGAGCAGAGGGAAAAGGAGUGAUCCGCUUUGAGAUGGCCCCGCGUCCGAUUAGCUGGUUGGUGAGGUAACGGCCCACCAAGGCGACGAUCGGUAGCCGGACUGAGAGGUUGAACGGCCACAUUGGGACUGAGACACGGCCCAG